rnacentral:lncRNA from 1 species
AUCACGGGUGCGUGGAGGAGUGCAGCGCAGUAGUAGUGCGUGUGUUCACUGCGUAUAAAAUAUCCCCUGUGUACUGCUUGUAGAGGUGGCCAGAGAGUUGGAUAGUGGAAAGAGGCGUUUGUGCGCCUGGGCGUUUGAGCGCCGGGAAAGCCCACUGUUGUAUCUAGUUCUUCUUCUACCUCUAGCCACACGAGAAAGAGAGU